ACAGUUAUUUGUAAUUAAAGCCUUCUGAAGAGUAGGGGAUAAUAAAAACAUUAACACACUCGCGUAGAUGUCAUAAUGUAUUUACAACACUCGUGCCGGAAAAAUGAUAUUUCCCGAGCGAAAACUGUUCAAUAUCACAUC